AUAUUGGACAAUGGGGGAAACCCUGAUCCAGCCAUCCCGCGGGUAUGAUGAAGGCCUUCGGGUUGUAAAGAACUUUUGGCAGGGAAGAAAAGUUAUCCCCUAUUCGGGAUUCUUCCGGACGUUUCCGCCGGAUUAGCACCGGCCUAACUAGUUCCCGGCACCGCGGUAAUACGUAGGGUGCAAGCGUUAAUCGGAAUUACUGGGCGUAAAGCGUGUGUAGGCGGUUCGGAAAGAAAGAUGUGAAAUCCCAGGGCUCAACCUUGGAACUGCAUUUUUAACUGCCGAACUAGAGUAUGUCAGAGGGGGGUAGAAUUCCACGUGUAGCAGUGAAAUGCGUAGAUAUGUGGAGGAAUACCGAUGGCGAAGGCAGCCCCCUGGGAUAAUACUGACGCUCAGACACGAAAGCGUGGGGAGCAAACAGG
rnacentral:rRNA from 1 species